CCUACGGGAGGCAGCAGUGGGGAAUAUUGGGCAAUGGGGGAAACCCUGAUCCAGCCAUGCCGCGUGAGUGAUGAAGGCCUUAGGGUUGUAAAGCUCUUUCGUCGGGGAAGAUAAUGACGGUACCCGAAGAAGAAGCCUCGGCUAACUCCGUGCCAGCAGCCGCGGUAAGACGGAGGAGGCUAGCGUUGUUCGGAAUUACUGGGCGUAAAGCGUGCGCAGGUUGUGAGUUCAGUCUGAUGUGAAAGCCCGGGGCUCAACCUCGGAUGUGCAUUAGAUACUGACUUGCUGGAGGUUGGAAGAGGAGAGUGGAAUUCCCAGUGUAGAGGUGAGAUUCGUAGAUAUUGGGAAGAACACCAGUGGCGAAGGCGGCUCUCUGGUCCACACCUGACACUCAAGCACGAAAGCGUGGGGAGCAAACAGGAUUAGAUACCCCAGUAGUCC
rnacentral:rRNA from 1 species